rnacentral:lncRNA from 1 species
AGAAGUAUUCGAUAAGUUACAGGAAGUAAUAACAUACUAGUACAGAAAAGCUUUUUCAACCAAGUUUGGCCAAAACAUCAUUUAAGGUAGAUACAGUUUCAGCAUAGUACUUCUCUGCUUCAGGGCUGUUCUUGGUCUUUGCUGCAUGGUCCAGCUGAGGAAGGAAAAGAACAGAUUAUUAAAACGAAUACGAAAAUAUAAGCAACCCUUUGGAUUUCUAUGCACAUUAUUUCACUACUUUUGACAUUCAUGUACGUAACCAAGAAUAUAAUGUAGAGAUUUGACUUACAUCACUAAUGGUCUUGAAGAGCUUUCCAGUCAGGUCCUGGAGUUUUCCCUUCUCUUCUUUUGGCUUAGCAGAGAUUACGGUCUUAAGGUCAUAGCGAAGGUAUUCUGCUCUGAGACGAAGGUCAUUCUGGACAUAUGGCCAGGCCUUCUUGUCGAUGAAAUUCUUGACGCUAACAAUCUCCUUGGCUGAAUCCUUAACUCUCUGGGCUGCUUCAGCUGGAGUCAAUGGUUGA